ensembl:lncRNA
AUGCAGUCACCAUGGCUGACUGUCUCCUCCACCUUGCAGCCUCCUGUUUUGCUGCCUCAGGAUUCAGCUUCCACGGGCAAGGAGGGCUGUGGCGAAUGCUCCAAGGGCCUACCAGGUGUGCCCGGCGUGGUUGGUGCUAAGGGCGAGAAGGGAGAUCAGGGCAAGCCUGGCGUUGAACACUUAGAUAGAUGCGAACGGUGUUUAGAGAAGCUGCAGAGAGAAGAAACACCAAGUAGGCCUACGAGUAACAGUGGUCAGUGUGUUGGUGCACCAGGGAUGCCCGGAUUCCCAGGGACCGCAGGGGUCAAAGGAGAGCCGGGUCCUAGAGGUGAGCGAGGACCUCCUGGUCUUCCUGGAACCCCAGUAAGUUUCUACUUUGCCAGUUAUUUUCCAGAUUGUCUCCUAAAAGGUCAUUUCUGGCAGGAUUGUCUUUUUAGCCCUCUUUUCUUAGAAACUGAGACAGAGUGA